rnacentral:rRNA from 1 species
CAAUAGCGUAUAUUAAAGUUGUUGCAGUUAAAAAGCUCGUAGUUGGAUUUCUGGGAGGGUGCCGCCGUCCGGCGUGUCCGUGUGCAGUGGCGCCCUUCCAUCCUUCUGUUAGCGUCUCUUGGCAUUCAUUUGCUGGUGGCGGGCUCAGAUAUUUUACCUUGAGAAAAUUAGAGUGUUUCAGGCAGGCUAGGCCGGAAUACAUUAGCAUGGAAUAAUGGAAUAGGACUACGGUCUCUUUGUUGGUUUGAGGGACUGCAGUAAUGAUUAAUAGGGAUAGUUGGGGGCAUUAGUAUUUAAUUGUCAGAGGUGGAAUUCUCAGAUUUGUUAAAGACUAACUUAUGCGAAANCANNNGCCAAGGAUGUUUUCAUNAA